AAACAGACUUCCUCUCUGGGCGGAAUGCAACAGAGUCCGCUGCUACCAUAAACCAUUCUUGAAUGCCAAUAUUGAACGAGUAUAGAAAUAAACGUGGUAGCAAUGUAAAACUGGGAUCCUCCUCUUUAAAAAAAACAACAAAGGCCAAAAGUUAUUUCAAACGUGUUCUCCUGCUGUUUGCAUUAAGAAUAGUUGUGAAAUGACUGCUUGAACACGUGUAUUUCCUUUGGCUCUAGCAUUAAAUGCGUCUCAAGAGGAAUAUUUAUCUCGCAUAGCACACACAAAAGCCGACUAGGUGAUUUCCCAGCCAAACAUGACGAACAAACGGAUCUAUUUUGCCUACAAAAAUCAUAUUUCGGGAACAAAUGAACUUUGGCUAUCUACCUGGGAGUCUCGUGCGUGAAAACAUCCAAAGCUCAUCAAAGACCUGAGCCCUAGGACCAUGCCUCAGGACUACUUGGCCUGAUGACUUCUUGCUGUCUCCAGUUCACCUGGUCGUGCUGCUGCUCCAGGUUCAACUAUUCUGCCUGUGGCUAUGAAACCCUGACCUUUUCACCGGACAUGCCACCUUGUCCCAGACCUGCUGUUUUCAACUCUCUAGAGGCAGCAGGAGCUGUAAA